UGAGUGGCGAACGGGUGAGUAACACGUGAGUAACCUCGCCCCCUUCCUUUGGGAUAACGCCCGGAAACGGGUGCUAAUACUGGAUAUUCACUGGCCUUCGCAUGGGGGUUGGUGGAAAGGUUUGUUCUGGUGGGGGAUGGGCUCGCGGCCUAUCAGCUUGUUGGUGGGGUGAUGGCCUACCAAGGCUUUGACGGGUAGCCGGCCUGAGAGGGUGACCGGUCACAUUGGGACUGAGAUACGGCCCAG
rnacentral:rRNA from 1 species